UACGGGAGGCAGCAGUGGGGAAUAUUGGGCAAUGGAGGAAACUCUGACCCAGCGACGCCGCGUGCGGGAUGAAGGCCUUCGGGUUGUAAACCGCUUUCAGCAGGGAAUAAGCGCAAGUGAAGGUACCUGCAGAAGAAGCACCGGCUAACUAUGUGCCAGCAGCCGCGGUAAUACAUAGGGUGCAAGCAUUGUCCGGAAUUAUUGGGCGUAAAGAGCUCGUAGGUGGUUUGUUACGUCGGUUGUGAAAUUCAGGGGCUCAACCCCUGACUUGCUGCCGAUACGGGCAAGCUAGAGUUUGGUAGGGGAGACUGGAAUUCCUGGUGUAGCGGUGGAAUGCGCAGAUAUCAGGAGGAACACCGAUGGCGAAGGCAGGUCUCUGGGCCAAUACUGACACUGAGGAGCGAAAGCGUGGGGAGCGAACAGGAUUAGAUACCCUGGUAGUCCACGCCGUAAACGGUGGGCGCUAGUUGUGCGAACCUUCCACGGUUUGUGCGACGCAGCUAACGCAUUAAGCGCCCCGCCUGGGGAGUACGAUCGCAAGAUUAAAACUCAAAGGAAUUGA
rnacentral:rRNA from 1 species